rnacentral:rRNA from 1 species
GACGAACGCUGGCGGCGUGCUUAACACAUGCAAGUCGAGCGGUAAGGCUCCUUCGGGAGUACACGAGCGGCGAACGGGUGAGUAACACGUGAGUAAUCUGCCCUUCACUUCGGGAUAACCACCGGAAACGGUGGCUAAUACCGAAUACGACCAGUCUUCGCAUGAGGUGCUGGUGGCACGUCUUUUCGGUGAAGGAUGUGCUCGCGGCCUAUCAGCUUGUUGGUGGGGUAAUGGCCUACCAAGGCUUCGACGGGUAGCCGGCCUGAGAGGGUGACCGGCCUCACUGGGACUGUGGCGCGGCCCAGACUCCGACGGGUGGCAGCAGUGGGGAAUAAUGGACAAUGGGCGAAAGCCUGGUCCGGCAACGCCGCGUGAGGGAUGACGGCCUUCGGGUGGUAAACCUCUUUCAGGACCGACGAAGCGCCCUGGCGGGUGGGGAGGGUAGGGACAGAAGAAGGACCGGCCAACUACGUG